UACGGAGGGUGCAAGCGUUAUCCGGAUUUACUGGGUUUAAAGGGUGCGCAGGCGGAUAUGUAAGUCAGUGGUGAAAUCUCCGGGCUUAACCCGGAACUGCCGUUGAUACUAUAUAUCUUGAAUGCUGUGGAGGUAAGCAGAAUAUGUCAUGUAGCGGUGAAAUGCUUAGAGAUGACAUAGAACAUCAAUUGCGAAGGCAGCUGGCUACACAAAUAUUGACACUGAUGCACGAAAGCGUGGGGAUCAAACAGG
rnacentral:rRNA from 1 species